rnacentral:rRNA from 1 species
GGGAAUGCGGAUGCCUAGUGGCCACUUUUGGUACGCAGAACUGGCGCUGGGAGGAACCAGACACUGGGUCAAGGUGCCUGAUGCCAAUGCUCAUCAGACCCCAGAAAAGGUGUUGGAUGACACAGGCAGCAGGAUAGCUAGUGGUCAUGGAAGUCGGAAUCCGAUAAGGAGUGUGUACUCACCUGCUGAAUCAACUAGCCCUGAAAAUGGAAGGCGCUGGAGUCUCGAGCCCAUACCUGGCUGUCGCUGGCAGUCGGUGACAUGCGUGGGAGGGACAGGAGUGGGCGGGGGGGCGCCAUGGUUCCCCCCACCCCGCAGACACUAGGACGGCCGCUGCAGCGAGCCUUGAAGCCUAGGGCGCGGGCCCGGUGGAGCCGCCGCAGGUGCAGAUCUUGGUGGUGGUAGCAAAUAUUCAAACGAGAACUUUGAAGGCCGAAGUGGAGAAGGGUUCCGUGGGCCAGUCGGUCCUGAGAGAUGGGCGAGCGCCUCCGAAGGGACGGCGAUGGCCUCCGUUGCCCUCGACCAAUUGGAAGGGAGUCGGGUUCAGAUCCCCGAGUCCGGCGUGGCGCGGCGGGGAAGGGCGCCGAGAGGCGUCCAGCGCGGUAACCAACCGAUCCCGGGAGGCCGGCAGGAGCCCGGGGAGACUUCUCUUUCCUUUCCUUUGUGAAGGGCAGGGCGCCGGAAUGGGUUCGCCCGAGAGGGGCCCGCGCCUUGGAAAGCGUCGCGGUUCCAGCAGUGCCCAGUGAGCUCUCGCUGGCCCUUGAAAAUCCAGGGGAGAAGGCGUAGAUCUCGCGCAGGCCGUACCCAUGUCCACAGCAGGUCUCCAAGGGGAACAGCCUGAGCCAUGUUGGAACAAUGUAGGUGAGGAAGUCGGCAAGCCGGAUCCCUAAGUAACUUCGGGAUAAGGAUUGGCCCUAAGGGCUGGGUCGGUCGGGCUGGGGCGCAAAGCCCAGCUGGGUGCGCACCGUGGCUGGACGAGGCUCUGCCACGCCCACACCCACCCCGCCUGGGACCCCCCUGCCGAGCCCGCCCCCAUGGCCCUCUGCCCCAUCCUGCCCGUCUCCCCUAACUCGCCUCUCUACGCUUCCCCUCCCAGGGUGGGGGCAGGGGGAGGUGGGAUGGAGGGGAGACCCCCACAGGGACCCACCGGAGCCCACAGGGGCCCAGGCGGGGGACCAGCGGUGGCAGCAGCAACACUGGACGCAAGUGGGGCCCUUCCCAUAGAUUGUCCCAGCUGUGCUGGGUGUCCUGGGCACACCCAGGGAGCCCAGCAGGCCUCACCACACACCUGUGGGGCAGGCGCAGGCGACGACGGGAGUCCCUGUCCCUGUCUUCCCCCACCCCCGCCCCCCCUUGCUGCUGAGGUGGUCGGCCUGCCGGUCCCCCCACCGGGUCCACCCCCAGGCCGCGGUUGUGCAUGUGGCCUCGCCUCAGCUGGCGCCUAGCAGCCGACUUAGAACUGGUGCGGACCAGGGGAGUACGACAGCUUAAUUGAAACAGCAUCGCGAAGGCCCGCGGUGGGUGUUGACACGAUGUGAUUUCUGCCCAGUGCUCUGAAUGUCAAAGUGAAGAAAUUGAAUGAAGCGCGGGUAAGGGGAUCCCUGGGUGGCGCAACGGUUUAGCGCCUGCCUUUGGCUCAGGGCGCGAUCCUGGAGUCCCGGGAUGGAGUCCCAUGUCAGGCCCCCGGUGCAUGGAGCCUGCUUCUCCCUCCUCCUGUGUCUCUGCUUCUCUCUCUCUCUAUCAUAAAUAAAUAAAUCUUAAAAAAAAAAAAAAGCGCGGGUAAAUGACAGGAGUAAAUAUGACUCUUAAGGCAGCCAAAUGCCUCGUAAUCUAAUAAGUGAUGCCAGGAAUGGAUACACAAGAUUCCCACUGUCCCUACCUACUAUCUGGCGAAAUCACAACCAAGGGAACAGACCUGGCAGAAUCAGCAGGGAAAGAAGACUCUAGUUUGACUCUAGUUUGGCAUGGUGAAGAGACAUGAGAGGUGUAGAAUAAGUGGGAGGCCCCCAACACCCAUCUGUCCCUGCAAGGGGACUGGACGAUGUCUGCCAGCCUUGUAGGACUCCAUUGAAAUACCACUACUCUUAUUGUUUUUUCGCUGACCCCGUGAGGCAGGGCUGCAAGCCCCCAAGGGGCUCUCAGUUCUGGCGCCAAGAGCCUGUUCAUGCCGGCUGGGUGCAACCCGCUCCGGGGACAGUACCAGGUGGGGAGUUUGCCUGGGGCGGUACACCUGUCAAACGGUAACGCAGGUGUCCUAAGGCGAGCUCAGGGAGGACAGAAACCUCCCGUGGAGCAGAAGGGCAAAAGCUCACUUGAUCUUGAUUUCCAAGACAAAUACAGACCAUGAAAGCAGGGCCUGACAAUCCUUCUGACCUUGUGAGUUUUAAGAGGAGGUGUCAGAAAAGUUACCACAGGGAUAACUGGCUUGUGGCAGCCAAGCCAGUCGCUUUUUGAUCCUUUGAUGUCGGCUCUUCCUAUCAUUGUGAAGCAGAAUUCACCAAGCGUUGGAUUGUUCACCCACUAAUGGGGAACGUGAGCUGGGUUUAGACCCUCGUGAGACAGGUUAGUUUUACCCUACUGAGGAUGUGUUGUUGCCAUGGUAAUCCUGCUCAGUACGAGAGGAACCGCAGGUUCAGACAUUUGGUGUAUGUGCUUGGCUGAGGAGCCAGUGGGGUGAAGCUACCAUCUGUGGGAUUAGGACUGUGAAUGCCUCUAAGUCAGAAUCCCGCCCAGGCAGAAUGAUAAGGCAGCACAAUGGGGCCUGGGUUGGCCUCGGAUAGCUGGUCCCUGACAUCCCUGCCAGCGGCCGCAGUGAGCACCCGGCAUAGCAUGGCAUGCCCAGCCCUGCACCAGGACC